rnacentral:rRNA from 1 species
AGUGAACGCUGGCGGCGUGCCUAAUACAUGCAAGUCGAACGGAGUGGCGCACGGGUGAGUAAUGUAUAGCUAAUCUGCCCUACACUAGAGGACAACAGUUGGAAACGACUGCUAAUACUCUAUAGUGUAGGAUGUGGCUAUAUUGUAUCAGCUAGUUGGUGAGGUAAUGGGGCACCAAGGCUAUGAAGCGUAACUGGUCUGAGAGGAUGAUCAGUAACAGGGGAACUGAGACACGGUCCAGACUCCUACCGGAUGGAGUAGCAGGGAGUAUUGCUCAAUGGGCGGAACCCUAAAGCAGCAACGCCGCGUGGAGGAUGACACUUUUCGGAGAGUAAACUCCUUUGGUUAGGGAAGCGGUACCUAACGAAUAAGCACCGGCUAACUCCGUGCCAGCAGCCGCGGUAAUAC